UACGUAGGGUGCGAGCGUUAAUCAGAAUUACUGGGCGUAAAGCGUGCGCAGGCGGUUGUGUAAGGCAGAUGUGAAAUCCCCGGGCUCAACCUGGGAACUGCAUUUGUGACUGCACAGCUGGAGUGCGGCAGAGGGGGAUGGAAUUCCGCGUGUAGCAGUGAAAUGCGUAGAUAUGCGGAGGAACACCGAUGGCGAAGGCAAUCCCCUGGGCCUGCACUGACGCUCAUGCACGAAAGCGUGGGGAGCAAACAGG
rnacentral:rRNA from 1 species